rnacentral:rRNA from 1 species
UACGUAGGGACCGAGCGUUGUCCGGAUUCAUUGGGCGUAAAGAGCUCGUAGGCGGCUGUUCAAGUCGAACGUGAAAACUCGGGGCUCAACUCCGAGCCUGCGUUCGAUACUGCUGUGACUUGAGUCCGGUAGGGGAGUGGGGAAUUCCUGGUGUAGCGGUGGAAUGCGCAGAUAUCAGGAGGAACACCGGUGGCGAAGGCGCCACUCUGGGCCGGUACUGACGCUGAGGAGCGAAAGCGUGGGGAGCGAACAGG